AUUGAACGCUGGCGGCAGGCCUAACACAUGCAAGUCGAGCGGAUGAAGGGGGCUUGCUCCUGGAUUCAGCGGCGGACGGGUGAGUAAUGCCUAGGAAUCUGCCUGGUCGUGGGGGAUAACGUCCGGAAACGGGCGCUAAUACCGCAUACGUCCUGAGGGGGAAAGUGGGGGGUCUUCGGACCUCAGGCUAUCAGAUGAGCCUAGGUCGGCUUAGCUAGUUGGUGGGGUAAAGGCCUACCAAGGCGACGAUCCGUAACUGGUGUGAGAGGCUGAUCAGGCACACUGGAACUGAGACACGGUCCAGACUCCUACGGGAGGCAGCAGUGGGGAAUAUUGGACAAUGGGCGAAAGCCUGAUCCAGCCAUGCCGCGUGUGUGAAGAAGGUCUUCGGAUUGUAAAGCACUUUAAGUUGGGAGGAAGGGCAGUAAGUUAAUACCUUGCUGUUUUGACGGUACCAACAGAAUAAGCACCGGCUAACUUCGUG
rnacentral:rRNA from 1 species